rnacentral:rRNA from 1 species
AACGAACGCUGGCGGCAGGCCUAACACAUGCAAGUCGAGCGCGCCUUCGGGUGAGCGGCGGACGGGUGAGUAACGCGUGGGAAUAUGCCCUUCUCUACGGAAUAGUCCUGGGAAACUGGGGGUAAUACCGUAUACGCCCUUUGGGGGAAAGAUUCAUCGGGGAAGGAUUAGCCCGCGUUGGAUUAGGUAGUUGGUGGGGUAAUGGCCUACCAAGCCGACGAUCCAUAGCUGGUUUGAGAGGAUGAUCAGCCACACUGGGACUGAGACACGGCCCAGACUCCUACGGGAGGCAGCAGUGGGGAAUCUUAGACAAUGGGGGCAACCCUGAUCUAGCCAUGCCGCGUGAGUGAUGAAGGCCUUAGGGUUGUAAAGCUCUUUCAGCUGGGAAGAUAAUGACGGUACCAGCAGAAGAAGCCCCGGCUAACUCCGUG